CCCACAUGGUGGCCUGGGCGGCACGCCUGUGGGAUGGGGAAACCGAGGCACAGACAGUCACGUGCUCUUCCAGUUGCAGGUUAGACCCCACUUGCGGUUGUGUGUUCCAGAAGUCUCCGGGCGCUGUGUGGCAGGAUGAGGAGCUGCCCCCCUGGAGGAUCACGCAGGCCUCUGGGUGGCAUUCAGCAGGGUUGGCUGCGGCACCGGCUGACCACAGGGCCCACCUUUCCAGUCCCGGCAGGAGAGAAGCGUCUCAACCAUGUUGCAGGCACACGGGUGAGGGUGCUGCCUGCCUCCCUGACUCUUACCUCCCCAAGAGAGGAAAACAAAAGAAAAAAAGAUAAGACCAGGAAAUGGAAAUAAGACAAAGAAGAAUGAAAUUUUAAAAUCCGAACAAACCCAAACAUGCUGUUUCAAAACGUAAGUCCAUGAAGAGUCUCGUGGUGAGAAAGACAGAAUUCCUAGCCAGGAAAAUGCCCCGUGCUUGCCCCUUGGAGGCAGGUGCUCACCACGGCAGGGUCUAUCUAGGUGUUUAUUAAGGUGUCUCACCACGUAUCGCCCGGAUUCACCAGAGAUGCAGAGGCGGAGGAUACGUUCCUGUUUACAUUGAUACAUAGUUACAUAGGUGAAGAGCUUUACAGUGAGGAAGCGGCUCACGCGGCCAUGAGGGACCCAGGCAGGAGCUGCUGUUGCUGCCCCAGGUGCGAUUCCUUCCUCCUCAGGGAGGCUCAGCUCCCCGCUGCAGCCAGGUGGGCCCAGGCAGGCCUCCUUGGCCUACAGCGCAGACGGCCAAGUGCUGGUCACGGCCAUUGCAUCUACACCACCCCUUUCUCAGCAGCAACUCCACGAGUGCUCGAUGGGAAACUGCAGACAGCAGCCUUGCCAAGCGGAUGCCCAGGGCCGACCACCGCAGCCCCUCCAGCCACGUUCUCCAUCAGGGCAGCCUCCUGCUGGCUUCGGCACUGCAGGUAGCACACCAGCGAGGGGUGGGCCUGUGUGCCACGAAGCGUCAUCCAUGGACGUGCCACGAAGGGUUAUUCUUCUUUUGACUUUUUCUGAUGGUUUAAAACUGUAAGAACACACAGCUCACAGUCCACACGGAAGCAGGCAUGUGGCUCCUGCCUCACUGUGGGAGGAAAGAUGUUCUCAAAAGAAAUGGCUGGGUUUGCGGAGGGGUUUGUGGAGGGCCGGGCAGUCUGAACACAGCCCAGCUGGCCUUGGUGGAGGUGGGCCUGGCACAGGGGGGUGGGAGCAGUUCUUCCUGACGCAAAUCCUAACGCCUUCAACACUGACCUUCCAAAGAAACAGCUGCUGGACGCCGCCCGACAGCAACGAGAGCCCCACUCCUGAGGCGCGCGACUCUCGAGGGCUUUGUUGUUUAUUUGGCACCCGAGGCCCAGGCUCACAGGGUCUCGGGUGCAUGGGACCCCCCAGCCCUUCCCACUGCUCUGCGAUUCUUCCUCCCUUCUGGAAAGGUCAGUUUGGGGUUCUAUUCUGGGAGGGGCCAGGCCGCCACCUGGCCUCAUUAACUGGGCAGGCCACUGGGACCUCCUCCGAAAUGCUGGGGCCAUGGCCGAAGACUUGCCUCCCGCCAGGAGCCUUCAGCCCUCUUAGUAGUGGAUGUGGGCUUCCUCCCUCUGAGGGGACGUCCUGAUGGACACGAGAUGUGGGGCGCCCGUGGGUGGCCGCCUGCUCCUGCCACAGUCCCCCUUGGGGCCUGAGCUGCGGCUGCUGCCUCCGUAGGGAAGGAACAAUGGGGGAUGGGCCCGCCCCUACCCAGAGAGAGUGGGCCGUGUUGCCUGCAAGGCCUCAGCCAGGGGACCACGUUUCUCUGCAUCUUGUGGCUUUGGGUUCUGCAGGCUGUUUGUGGGAGAACGGGAAACAGUCCCAGAGAUGACGCUGCCUCAUGCAGGUUAACAGAGUUGGAGGUCAGGCCGACGCCUGAGGCUCAGGACGCUGAUGGGUGCCUUCCCUCGCCAGGGCCAUUUGGUGGAGACUCUGAGAGCCUGAACUUAGAAGCCCGCCGAGAGGGGAAAUGGCGGCCUCCGGGGAGCGGGCAGCCUGGCCGCAGAGCGCGCGGGACCCAGGGCCACCGUCCUCCCGAGACAGCGGCAGCAGCCGCCACUCACCGUGCGGAAUUAAAAACGGCUCUCUGGUUGCCACGGCAACCAGCCGUCUCCCCCCAGCGUCAGUUUGAAUUUGUGCAGACCAUUCCUAGCCAAGAUUCAAGCCAACAGAUUCGUGCUUACCCUGAGGUGAAGCCUCGUUUGAGAACCAAAUAAUAAAA
ensembl:lncRNA ADGRA1-AS1 ADGRA1 antisense RNA 1